AAGCACAAUCAGCUCCCCUUGCUAGGAAGUGACAAAUGCGCCUUAGGGCACGGUAUCGAUGAUGUGCGGAUCACGGUCUCUAACGGCGCACAGCGGGGCCAUUAUCGUGUGUUGUCACCGCGUGCCAUUAAAAGGACUUUAAUCUGCCGAUCGCCGCCGCGAUACGCGGCUCCUGCCAGGGAUCUACCGACUGACAGGCCGGGACGCUGCGAAAUCCCCCAGCCCCCGGGGUCGCCUGAAAAACACGGCCCGGCUCCCCCGUCAGUCAAUCGCGGCAACUCAAUUAAUGCAUCUGGGUCAGGAAAAUGGUUUGCGGGAGCCUGAGCCCGGUUACGAAACGCGGAUACCGCGGCGGGUACCGCGGGCGGCGGCGGAGGGCAGCACCCGCUGAGCCCAGUUCUGAAUAACAGCACCACAUUCUGUCCUGGAGGUGUCCCUGGAACACCUGGGCAUUUUCUUAAGAUUUCUCCUACAUCUACCCUGAAGCAAAUGCAAGCAGAACUGAGGAAUCUCAGCCUCUUCUCUGGUGCUGGCAGAACUUGCCUCUUGUCAUUGCAGGUCUGGUAAGAGACUGGUCAGCCUGGCCACCUGCAAGGCUCUGCCCAGCCCUUUACAUCGUCUCUGACAGCAGCCACUGGCUGACCACCCACCCGAGAUGGGCUCAGCCCAAGGAAUGCAAGAAGCAUACGGAGCUUGUUCACAAAUCCUCCCUGGCACUGGAAACAAAGCACCAUAUGCUCGAGCAGCCAGAGCAAAAGGAUGCAUCCAAGGCAAAGGGAGUCAAGAACAGAAGGGCAAGGGAGGUACACAGGGAAGGCACCAGGACAUCUGCUUCAUGAUUCCCCUCCUCCUUGUGGCCACUGGUGGGUAACACCAGGGGGUGCCUCUCUGACUUCACUUUCUGACAUCCUGCCCCUAAGGUGGCUCUUUAUGGGCAUCUUCCCCUUUCUUACUGCUUUUGGACAUCAUCACUUCUCUCCUCUUUGCCUUAGGCUUUCCUGGCCCCUUGCUGUGUUAGCUGCCUGCUCAGCCCAGUGUGCAGGUGAAACCAACAGCUGUAUCAGCAACAAGCACUGGGAGCAAGGAGAUCAGGUCCUGUAUGUGUGCCACUGUCCCCAGAACAGAGCAUGGUAGGCAAGCCCCCACUCCUCUGUCACUGAUGCAUAAGUCACAAAGGUCACCUGCAUCACUGGUCUGUCACACUGGGUGUGCUGGCUCAGACUGUAGAUAUUCAGAGUUUUAAUUAACAUGGAAACAAGUAGGGCUUUCUUUUUUGAACAUGUAUAGUUGAGGCUGAUAAAGUUUUGUGUCAGUUUAUUGUUUUGUGUGAGCUUGUUGCCUUUGAGAUGUGUGAUUUCCAACAUGUAUACUCGAGUCUGAUAAAGUUUUGUAUCGGUUUAUUGCCUUUAAAAUGUAUGAUUUUCAUGUUUGUCCUGAAUUGUAUCUGUUAACAUUUCUUCUUUUUCUGGACAACCAACAGAAAAAUGCUUGUAUUAGGAAUUGAGAUAAAUGGUUUAUUGACUCAUUUGAAAUAUCUUUUUUUUUUAUGAUAUAAAGUCACUUAUACUCAAUACUCAAUCUCAAAUGGCAAAAGAAAACAUAAAAAAGGGACAGCAUAAAUGUCAGCACUACAACACACCAUGAAAAUGAUCUCUGAAGAACCCCCUACACUCUCCAGCUCCUCAUGGAGCUUCUGACCUGGUCAACAGUCACAGAUCUGUACCAGAACAUCCCAUGUCUUCCUGCCAUCAUGCUGACCUCAUGGAUGAGGGAUGCAAAGCAUGCCUUCAGUCCCUGGGAAACACUGCAGGCAUCCCAGUGACACUUGUGUUGAAUUUCCACUCUGGGGCAGAAGAAUUCAGCAAGUCUCUUAUUCAUAGCUUUGAUGCCUGAGAAUGUACAGGAUUUGGAAAAUGAAGUCUCUCUGACUCUUCCCUUUUUCCAUUUCAGUGUUUUCCUUCCACCUUGCAUUUUGCAGUCCUCUCUGAGGCCCAGCCCAGCCUGCAGACCUGUGCAGGAUCUUUUAUCCCACAGACCACCUUUGGGGAGGUUGUCACGUGGCAGUUGCACAGUGUACAUAAGUAAAGAUGCUACAAGGACUGCACAAGUCACACAAAACCAAACUAAAUUAUAUACUGGUUUUCACUAGGUUCUGAUGACUUCAGAAGCACAGCAAGGGCCUCUGUAAUACUUAUGAAUUACUGACAUGGUAUUAUUUCUGUGCAGGAGCAGGACAAAAUAGUCACACAGGGGGUGAGCUACGGAUCUCACCAUUUCCAUGCAGGAAUAAAAGAACCAGGUACACCUUUCUAGUUUUGAUGCAGGAUUUGGUUUUUAGCACCUGGAUAACAUUACUGACCUCCAGAGCAUUGCUGUAGACUGUGAAGCAGUACCAAAUAAAAUACAAAGUUCUACAUUUUCUUUCUCCUGAAGAUUUUUCUGUCAAACUGGGUCAACUUCUAAGUAAAGCAAGAGAGCAUUUUAAUCUGUCAGCACUUCAAAACCAGUCUGGUACUUGAAAAUUACUUCUGGGCUUAAAAAUGUUAUGGACUCUGAAUUUGGAAGGCAAUAUUGUGGGUACAUAAGAUCUAAUGGUAUAUAAUUCACAACCUGGUCUUUUCUGAUCUUAGUUGACCAUUAUUUUAGCGAAUGUUUCCUUUGGUGAGGUUUGGGGGUGAUAUGAGCAAGUGAAAGCUCCAUGAAGAUAUCUUUGCUAACACUGAAAAUGAAAAACUAGACCAAUAUCCCCCCAGUUUUUUAAUCAGUAGUGUUUGCCACCUUUAAAAAAAUACACUAUAUUAUAGGUGUGGAAGCAGAUCAUAAAACUGCUCUGCCCAGAUCUGCAGGGGAAUCAAACAGAUGGCAGAUUCCACUGCAAUUUGGAUGAAGAUUUCAUAGCUAGAUAAUCAAGAAAAUAGUAAAGUGGUUUCAAGGUCAACAAUGAGGUGAGAAUCAGAUUUUCUUCAGCUAGGAGCAUCUACAGCCUUUCUCACACAUUUAGAGGAAAUGGACCAAACUCAGAAAUUCCUUCACUACCAAGAGCAAAAGCCCUCAGUGUAAGAAGAUAUUGCUACAGGGGAGAAUUUUCUUGGUCAACUAGCUUUUUUAAAAUUAAGAUUAAAACUAUUAUUUCCAAAUAGUUGUGCAUGACUAUUUAUGUGACUGUAUGUUAGUAUGUUUUUUUUAAAUUCAAUUAAACCUACAGGUGGUCAUACACCAGAUUGUAAAUAAUAUUAGUUAUGAAUUUUGGCAACCAAAAUGAUUUUCAAAUAAUGGUUAUUGUUAUUGAAUUUGUUCUGAGACCAACAUGCAUGUAGAGCUGUUGGUAGAUGAUUCUUUUCCUCUGCGCGUGUGUCUUUUAUGCCCUCACAAAUCCCUGAAUUGAGAAGUUAUAGCUUUAAAUGGAAAAUAUCCUCCCUGAUUUGUUGUGUUC